AGUGAACGCUGGCGGUAGGCCUAACACAUGCAAGUCGAACGGCAGCACAGUAAGAUCUUGCUCUUACGGGUGGCGAGUGGCGGACGGGUGAGGAAUACAUCGGAAUCUACUUUUUCGUGGGGGAUAACGUAGGGAAACUUACGCUAAUACCGCAUACGACCUACGGGUGAAAGCAGUGGAUCUUCGGACCUUUCGCGAUUGAAUGAGCCGAUGUCGGAUUAGCUAGUUGGCGGGGUAAAGGCCCACCAAGGCGACGAUCCGUAGCUGGUCUGAGAGGAUGAUCAGCCACACUGGAACUGAGACACGGUCCAGACUCCUACGGGAGGCAGCAGUGGGGAAUAUUGGACAAUGGGCGCAAGCCUGACCCAGCCACACCGCGUGAGUGAAGAAGGCCUUCGGGUUGUAAAGCCCUUUUGUUGGGAAAGAAAAGCAGCAGGUUAAUACACCGAUGUUUUGACGGUACCCAAACAAUAAGCACCGGCUAACUUCGUG
rnacentral:rRNA from 1 species